AUCAUCAUCCAGUUCACAUCUUAGUCCUCUAGCUGACAGGUCCCUCACCCCACAUUGUACUUGAAUUCAAGAGCUACUCGACAUAGAUGUAAGCUUGCAUAAUGGAUCGAUCAGGGAUAUACCUAGAUUUAACCACAUACAAUAUGUCGCCUCAUCUACUUCCUAUCUGAAUUUGCAAACCACAAAUCUUCUAAUACAAACAAUCAGGACUCUUGAAACCAGACCUAUUUUUAGCUAAAGAAAGAUUUCCUUACUGCUACCUAACAUUAUUCUCUCAGGCCGUUUUAGUUUGACAAACCUCAGUCAUUAAGUAUAGCAAUACGCCCUUCUUGGACUCCAAACCAUAAUACACAUAUCCAAAUUAGUUUCAAAGCAUUCAAGAAAUUCCAUAUUGCAAUUCCAUAUGACAUUUAAAGAAAUAGAAAAUGAGUUCGAAAUGUCCAGCAAACCAACUAACAUAAGAGGCAAAACUAUGCCAAAAGUUGGACGGCGAGGACAUGAGUGAGCUAAACUUUAAAACAGAGGAUAUAUCUAGACCUUUUCGAAUAGUUUAGAGGCAUAUUUGACUCUUCUUCCUAGCGAAAAAUAAACAAGACCUGCUAGCACUUUGUGAUAAAAUAAAUUAAGACAUCAAUUUGACCAAAACCAUAUCUCUUUGAUCAUACAAAAUUGCUAUGUAACUGAUUCAGGUAUCAACUCAAAAGAAAUGGAAUUAAAAUUACAUGAAAGCACCUUUUGACCGUGUCAACCUUUUCUACAAAUAAGUCUAUGAUGAAAUUGCCUUGCAAGUUCUUCUUCCUUCUUAAUUAAUCUUUUGCUACUUCCUUGCAAAUUCUUAUAAUACAAAUAUGUACCACAUUUUCCAAGAAAAAAAAAGCAGUCAUUUGAUCUUUAUGGUUUCUAACCUUAAGGAUUUAUAAAGAGUAGCCUGCAAAAUACUUCCCCUGUAUAUGAUGGCUAAUUUGCAUAUCACCAUGUUAUGAAGUUUUCUUGAGUUUUAGGGGUUAAAGAUGUACGCAGAACAUUUUUAGAUCAUCUCUAUAAAGCAUUAUGUGAUGUUGGAAUUAAUGUGUUUAAAGACGAUGAACUUCCAAGAGGCGAGGACAUCUCACGGAGUUUAUACGAAGCAAUGGAAGAGUCGAAUAUUUCUCUUUGUUGUUUUCUCCAAAAAUUAUUCAUCUUCUAAAUGGUAUUUUAAUGAGUGGUAGUGAAGUGAAGUUCAUUGAGAUGAUUAUCCAGGAGGUAUUGGGUGAACUAAACAAAAAAUUAUACAGGAAUUAGUGAACU